GACUAACGCUGGCGGCGUGCCUAAUACAUGCAAGUCGAACGGGAUUCUUUGAUCAGUUUGCUGAGAGAAGGAUCUAGUGGCGGACGGGUGAGUAACGCGUGGGAAUCUGCCUCUUACUGGGGGAUAACAGUGGGAAACUACUGCUAAUACCGCAUAAGAUCUUCGGAUGAAAGGUGCAACUGCACCGGUAAGAGAUGAGCCCGCGUCCCAUUAGCUAGUUGGUGAGGUAAAGGCUCACCAAGGCGACGAUGGGUAGCCGGCCUGAGAGGGUGAACGGCCACACUGGGACUGAGACACGGCCCAGACUCCUACGGGAGGCAGCAGUAGGGAAUCUUCCGCAAUGGGCGCAAACCUGACGGAGCGACGCCGCGUGAGUGAUGAAGGCCUUCGGGUCGUAAAGCUCUGUUCUUGAGGACGAAUAAGCCAGGGAGUGGAAAGCCCUGGUGAUGACUGUACUCAAGGAGAAAGCUCCGGACUAACUACGUGCCAGCACG
rnacentral:rRNA from 1 species